rnacentral:rRNA from 1 species
UAAAUUUUUGGCACUUCGGAUUUGAGAACAAUGUACCCCUGUUAUCGAUAAACAAUUGGAGGGCAAGUCUGGUGCCAGCAGCCGCGGUAAUUCCAGCUCCAAUAGCGUAUAUUAACGUUGUUGCAGUUAAAAAGCUCGUAGUUGAAUUGAAGUGAACUUGGAUUGAUGUGAUCUUCGGAUGACGUGAAUCAAAGUUGACUCUUUCCAAAGUCAAUACAUUGGUAUUCAUUUAUCUUUGUAUUGUGUUUGGUCAUUUACUGUGAGAAAAUUAGAGUGUUCAAAGCAGACGUUUGUUUGAAUACAUUAGCAUGGAAUAAUCAUAUAAGGCUUUCAUGUUGAUUUGAUUGGUUUGAAUAUGGAAGCAAGAUUAAAAGGGACAGUUGGGGGUAUUCAUAUUCAAUAGUCAGAGGUGAAAUUCUGGGAUUUAUGGAAGAUGAACAACUGCGAAAGCAA